CCUCAGCCCCACGUCUGGUUUUUUGCUGCUUAAUUUCCUGCCCAAGCUGACUUCCAACCGUGCUCUCAGAUCUCCUGAGUAGCUGGGAUUACAAGCACAAGCCAUCAGUGCCCGGCUGUUUCUGACUUCUUAAUCUAGAAAGAAUCUCAGUGCUCACUGAGACCGUUUCUGCUGUUAAUUCCAGCUUGUUUAAGAACCCUUUGGGGGAGUCUGGUUAAGACAGUACUGAGUUUCACUCUGGAGAGCCUGGCUGAGUAGGUGAGCUUGGCCUUGGCGGGGGGGGGGGGGGUGUCUACAUUUCUCCUAGAGCCUGGGGGUGGCUCACGGCAACCUGCAUCACACCUUAAGCAGCCUGUACUUGAAAUGGGAGGGUGGGCAGUGACAGGCUGCCAUGCCAGGCCUCUGGUCCUCCCUUGGGCUGGGCCUCUGUCACCUAGGAACUUCAGGAGACGCAGUGAUGUGAUAGGGUUUCCACAGCUCAGGCUUGGCAGAUGCUUUAGCUGGAUCUAGGUAGGACGGGGCUGACAGCUGGUUUAGAAGAGGAUGUGUAGGAGGCCAGGGCGAGUUGUCUGCAGCGAGGGUGAGUGACAGCUUUCCUAGGACUCCAUGGUUAAAACAGGAGCUGGCUGGCACAGCCUCCCUGGAGCCGGGGGGAGGGGGCGGGGGGACUCAGGAGUAAGUCGUGACUGCCUAAUUAAUUCAAUUAAACUACUUCAGAAGCUCCGCUGGUGUCAGUAAAUUGUUAAAGUCUAUUAAAAAAUCAGAAGAACAUGAAGAGUGUCAGGGCUGCCUGGUUUUCCUACCUCAUGGCAGGGGACCCUAAAAGAGGGAUGGACAAGUGUUGGAAGCCCUCUCUGGGGUCGCCCCUGACCCAUCCUACCCCUUUUGGCCUCCAUUUCCCUCUCUGCACUACUAGUGAUGGGCUGGCUGGCUUCCAAGUGCCUGCCCCUUUAGCUGUGGUUAGGAUGGGAGAAAGGGGUCCCCAGAGAGAGAGGUUGAGUCCCCAGAGCUGGGCUUCGUGUCCUGCAAUUUCAGAGGCCUACCAUGCUUAGGGAACCCCUCUCCUGUUGCUGGGGGAGCCAGGCCCAGAAGACCUGUCCUUGGGACUCCCCUCUGUGCAUUUGUGUGCAGACGAUGCUGUGAACUCUGAGCUGGGCACUGCAGAGGCCUACGGGUGUAUGACCUGUACUUGACCUUCAAGGGAGCAGGCUUGCUAAGGUAGAUGCUAGUAUAAAGAAGACCAUCAGAAGGAGCAAGAGCACUAAGGUAUGUGCAAGGAGCCAUUCUAGCAGUAAGCUUUUGGAAAGCUCCUAUUGGAGGAUAAGCAUGUCAACAAUUGUAAGCCUGGUAUAGGAGAUGGGAGCCCCGGGGAAGAGGAGCUUAGGCAGAGGCUGAGCGCUAAAGCAGAGGUGAAACCCAGUCUGGCCACAUUAGUAGGCUUAGUGCCUUCUUUCAAGAUUCCUCUUUUCCCCUUAUUUAGACAGCUCAGCCCAGGGGUUCAGAGAGGCAGCUGUGGGCCAUGGUCUCCCCAGCUUCUCAGGGCCAGCCCCUGUAUGGCACCUGGCUCAUUGUAAUCCUCACCCUUGCCUUGCCAAGGAAGUUUUCUACAAUGUUUACAGAGCACAGUGAGCAUGAAAGUGCUCAUUUCCUCCCAUAAUAAUCCUAGAGGAAAUCUUUCCUGAGGCAAGCUUGCAAAGCUUAUGGCCUUCAGCACCACCAGCCAUUACUUACUGAACAUCUUGUGUUGCCCACUAUGGAAGGCUCUUGCAGGUUUGCCGAGACGCCUCCUCCAGGAUGGCCUCCUCCCUGUGAGCAUGGCUGGCCGCUCCUACCAUGCUUUGCAGCAUCAGCCCCAUGUCACCUGGGCUUCUGCCCAGUUCAUCCUGUGCUCACCUGUUCUGAAAUGGGACCUGGUCUCUGCCCUCACCCGCUACCAUCUGAGAGGAGAUGAAGGGCGAGGGGCACCCUAACAAGGCAAGCUCCUGGCUUCCUGGGGGGUGUGGGGGCUGCAGAGGUAUAGAGGGGAGCAGGUGAGGGACUGAUAGGGACACCUGCCAGGUGAAGGGGAAGGGAGAGGAGAGGCCACUCCAGGCACUAAGGGAGAGAUUAUAAUUAGCAGAAUCUUUGUAUACAAGUGAUGCUUCAAAAUGCUUCAAAGUUCUUUUUGAGGUAGAGGCUGGAAGUGGCAGUACUGGGCUGGGGGGGUGGGGGUGGGCAGACAGUUGGCUAGGUGUCCCUGUA